rnacentral:SRP_RNA from 1 species
GCCGGGUGUGGUGGUGUGCACCUGUAAUCCCAGCUACUCAGGAGGCUGAGGCAGGAGAAUUGCUUGAGUCCAGGAGGCGGAGGUUGCAGUGAGCCGAGAUCGUGCCACUGCACUCCAGCCUGGGUGACAGAGCAAGCCCCUGUCUCAA